rnacentral:lncRNA from 1 species
GGGUGGCUUUGCCAGUAGGAAGGGCGGAAAUUCCUGAAGAUGUAUUCAUCCAUGCUGCAUCAGCUGCUUGGUGUUUUCAUGGCAUCUCUGCACAUGUGCUGGGUUGAUCUUAAGCAGAAAACCAGAAACGGCAGUGGUCUCCAGUAGAGACCCAAGGACCCCAAGCUCUCUGUGACACAAACAGGAAGGUCACUGUGGUGCAUUGAAAACCUGCGCCAGUAGUGCAUUACCAGUGCACUAUGCUGCUGUUUCUUCAAGGAGAAAGGAGGUGACCACCCUCAGAGGAACUUCAUGCUCUACAGUAUGCUUUUGAGUGUCACGUGGAGAAGUGUGGAAGGCGUUCCUCCAUGGAAGAGCGGUGACCGGAGCGUGAGCUGAUACCUGGCAGACAAGCUGGAUGUCAUUGCAACUGGUGGCGUAAGGAGAAGACAACAAGAUGCUUGUGUGGUUGUGCGUGCCGGGACUUGAUUGCGUCUUUUCUCAGACUACACUGUUUUUACUUGUACACAUGUAAAAUAAAUAUUGUUUGCUCAAUUUGAGA